rnacentral:rRNA from 3 species
GGCAGGUUGAAGGUUGGGUAACACUAACUGGAGGACCGAACCGACUAAUGUUGAAAAAUUAGCGGAUGACCUGUGGCUGGGGGUGAAAGGCCAAUCAAACCGGGAGAUAGCUGGUUCUCCCCGAAAGCUAUUUAGGUAGCGCCUCGUGAAUUCAUCUCCGGGGGUAGAGCACUGUUUCGGCUAGGGGGCCAUCCCGGCUUACCAACCCGAUGCAAACUGCGAAUACCGGAGAAUGUUAUCACGGGAGACACACGGCGGGUGCUAACGUCCGUCGUGAAGAGGGAAACAACCCAGACCGCCAGCUAAGGUCCCAAAGUCAUGGUUAAGUGGGAAACGAUGUGGGAAGGCCCAGACAGCCAGGAUGUUGGCUUAGAAGCAGCCAUCAUUUAAAGAAAGCGUAAUAGCUCACUGGUCGAGUCGGCCUGCGCGGAAGAUGUAACGGGGCUAAACCAUGCACCGAAGCUGCGGCAGCGACACUGUGUGUUGUUGGGUAGGGGAGCGUUCUGUAAGCCUGUGAAGGUGUGUCGUGAGGC